GAUGAACGCUAGCUACAGGCUUAACACAUGCAAGUCGAGGGGAAACGGCAUUUAGUGCUUGCACUGAAUGGACGUCGACCGGCGCACGGGUGAGUAACGCGUAUCCAACCUUCCCAUUACUGUGGGAUAACCUGCCGAAAGGCAGACUAAUACCGCAUAGUCUUCGAUGACGGCAUCAGAUUUGAAGUAAAGAUUUAUCGGUAAUGGAUGGGGAUGCGUCUGAUUAGCUUGUUGGCGGGGUAACGGCCCACCAAGGCAACGAUCAGUAGGGGUUCUGAGAGGAAGGUCCCCCACAUUGGAACUGAGACACGGUCCAAACUCCUACGGGAGGCAGCAGUGAGGAAUAUUGGUCAAUGGACGAGAGUCUGAACCAGCCAAGUAGCGUGCAGGAUGACGGCCCUAUGGGUUGUAAACUGCUUUUGUAUGGGGAUAAAGUCAAUCACGUGUGAUUGUUUGCAGGUACCAUACGAAUAAGGACCGGCUAAUUCCGUGCCAGCAGCCGCGGUAAUACGGAAGGUCCGGGCGUUAUCCAGAUUUAUUGGGUUUAAAGGGAGCGUAGGCCGGAGAUUAAGUGUGUUGUGAAAUGUAGACGCUCAACGUCUGACUUGCAGCGCAUACUGGUUUCCUUGAGUACGCACAACGUUGGCGGAAUUCGUCGUGUAGCGGUGAAAUGCUUAGAUAUGACGAAGAACUCCGAUUGCGAAGGCAGCUGACGGGAGCGCAACUGACGCUUAGCUCGAAGGUGCGGGUAUCGAACAGG
rnacentral:rRNA from 1 species